AUUGAACGCUGGCGGCAUGCCUUACACAUGCAAGUCGAACGGUAACGGGCCUUCGGGUGCCGACGAGUGGCGAACGGGUGAGUAAUGUAUCGGAACGUACCUUUCAGUGGGGGAUAACGUAGCGAAAGUUACGCUAAUACCGCAUAUUCUGUGCGCAGGAAAGCAGGGGAUCGCAAGACCUUGCGCUGAUUGAGCGGCCGAUAUCGGAUUAGCUAGUUGGUGAGGUAAAGGCUCACCAAGGCGACGAUCUGUAGCGGGUCUGAGAGGAUGAUCCGCCACACUGGAACUGAGACACGGUCCAGACUCCUACGGGAGGCAGCAGUGGGGAAUUUUGGACAAUGGGGGCAACCCUGAUCCAGCCAUGCCGCGUGAGUGAAGAAGGCCUUCGGGUUGUAAAGCUCUUUCGGCCGGGGAGAAAUCGUAUCAGCUAAUACCUGGUGCGGAUGACGGUACCGGCAUAAGAAGCACCGGCUAACUACGUGCCAGCAGCCGCGGUAA
rnacentral:rRNA from 1 species